rnacentral:rRNA from 1 species
AGACCGAUAGCGAACAAGUACCGUGAGGGAAAGAUGAAAAGAACUUUGAAAAGAGAGUUAAACAGUACGUGAAAUUGUUGAAAGGGAAACGAUUGAAGUCAGUCGUGCUGGCGCGAAAUCAACCCUCUCGUCGGGAGACCCAUGUUGUGGCGAGCCUCAAAACCGCCACAGCAUGUGUCUCACGAUGAGGGGGAGCACUUUCAUGUCCGCUGGUUAACAUCAAUUUCGAACGUCAUAAA